rnacentral:rRNA from 1 species
UACGUAGGGGGCGAGCGUUGUCCGGAGUUACUGGGCGUAAAGCGCACGCAGGCGGUCUGCUAAGUUUGGAGUGACAGUUGGUGGCUUAACUGCCAAAGUGCUUCGAAAACUGACAGACUUGAGGGCUUCAGAGGGACACGGAAUUCCGGGUGGAGUGGUGAAAUGCGUUGAGAUCGGAAGGAACGCCCGUGGCGAAAGCGAGAUCCUGGACGUCUUCUGACGCUGAGACGCGAAAGCUAGGGGAGCAAACGGG